AAUGGGGAAGUUCAAAACAAGUUCUCUUAAAAAAUGGAGUUGGGCCAUUUGAGGUGAUGUCAGGAAGCAUUUCUUCACUCAUAGGUAGUAGACAUCUCAUUAUCCUUCCCAACCCACGGUGCCCCUCCCACAUCCCAGACAAUGGAAAAUGUCAAAAUCUGAAA